UUCAGUAUAUCUGGUGUCCUUAUGAGACAGGUAGAAUGUCAGUUGAAUACAAGGCCCCCCUCUUACAGGAUAAUUGACAAGAAUCAAUACAUCAGAAUUGGAUCCAUGUUCAAGUUGUGAUCUUCAGCUCAGCAGAAUAGAGUCAAUCGGAUAGAUGGUGUUCAGAGGACCCUGCAAUUCUUUGAUAUCUUUUUUCCCAUACUGAGUCCAUUUCAAAGUCUCCCAGUCCCUACAACAUGAAGCCUAAUUUUGCC